AAUGAACGUUGGCGGCGUGGAUUAGGCAUGCAAGUCGUACGGGCCAGCAAUGGUCAGUGGCGAAAGGGAGAGGAAUACGCAGGUAUCUGCCUCCGGGUCGGGGAUAGCCACGGGAAACUGUGGGUAAUACCCGAUAACGUCUCCGGACCCAAGGUGUGAUUCCACCUGGAGAGGAGCCUGCGUCCUAUUAGCUUGUUGGCGGGGUAAUGGCCCACCAAGGCUACGAUGGGUACGGGGUGUGAGAGCAUGCCCCCGCUCACUGGGACUGAGACACUGCCCAGACACCUACGGGUGGCUGCAGUCGAGAAUCUUCCGCAAUGGGCGCAAGCCUGACGGAGCGACGCCGCGUGUGGGAUGAAGGCCUUCGGGUUGUAAACCACUGUCGUAGAGGAGGAAGGACCGGUGCAGAGCCGGUUUUGACCUAUUCUAGGAGGAAGGGUGGGCUAAGUUCGUGCCAGCCGCCGCAGUAAAAC
rnacentral:rRNA from 1 species